rnacentral:rRNA from 1 species
AGCAGCCGCGGUAAUUCCAGCUCCAAUAGCGUAUAUUAAAGUUGUUGCAGUUAAAAAGCUCGUAGUUGAAUUUCGGGAUCAGACUGUCGGUCGUGCCUCGGUACGCACUGGCAUUAUUGGUUCCUACCUUCUGAAGAACCGCGAUGUCAUUAAUUUGGUGUCGUGGGGAAUCAGGACUGUUACUUUGAAAAAAAUUGAGUGUUUAAAGCAGGCGCACGCUUGAAUACACUAGCAUGGAAUAAUGAAAUAGGACGUUUGAUUCUAUUUUGUUGGUUUCUAGGAUUGACGUAAUGAUUAAUAGGGAUAGUUGGGGGCAUUAGUAUUCAAUUGUCAGAGGUGAAAUUCUUGGAUUUAUUGAAGACUAACUACUGCGAAGGCAUUUGCCAAGGAUGUUU